CGCAUAGRAAGAUCCAAAAGCAUCAUAAUCGCAAGAGCACAAGAUCAGUUCUGUUCAUUUUGAUCUUCACUCAUAAGUGUUGCCGAAAGUGAGUGAGUUUAUCAUUACAUAACAGACUUCACUAGAAGCGUUUCCUCCCGCUCUCAAUAAAUACAACGCGGCUUCAUCGAGCUUGGCACUUUGCUAGUUUAAAGGAGAGAAAAGUACACGCUUAAGAGGUGAAGUUAUAGCAUCAGCCAUGAAUACAAAAACGAUUCUUGUUCUUGUUGUUAUUGCCUCUGUGUUGGUGCUUGAAUCAAUAGCCGUUCCUGUCCAAAGAAGCAAAGCAAUUGACUUGUUGCUCAAACGCUUCCAAGACAUAAAAAGACUUUCAAAGAAAUGUAAUCGAAUCGACAAAUCGUGCUAUGAUUCAAGGGAAUGCUUCUGUGACGGGGUACGACGCGUAGAAUGCUCUUCGAUUCGAAAGGAUGGAAGAGGAACUUGCACUGCAGCCCUCGGUCCAAAUGAUUUUCUUCAAUAACUAGAGAAUAAUUCUAAUCAUCUUAAUUUAAAAAAGUGCAUAUAAAGGAUUUUUCAUGCCUUCUAAGAAAAGUUUAACGAUUUUAAAUUGGAAUCUAAAAACGGUGUUAGAUUCGAAAACCUCUCAAGAAAAGCGUGCCAUGAUUUGCGACAACUCUUGUCUGGACCACAGGGAGCCCAGGCUCAACACAGUUUUGUUGCUUUCACGGUGUUGUCAAUGUUUGCGUGGUUCGCGGUUCGAAGCGUGGUUCCCUUAUGAAGCCGUAAAUUUUUUCUACUUCAUUUC